AUUGAACGCUGGCGGCAGGCCUAACACAUGCAAGUCGAGCGGAUGAAGGGAGCUUGCUCCUGGAUUCAGCGGCGGACGGGCGAGUAAUGCCUAGGAAUCUGCCUGGUAGUGGGGGAUAACGUCCGGAAACGGGAGCUAAUACCGCAUACGUCCUGAGGGAGAAAGUGGGGGAUCUUCGGACCUCACGCUAUCAGAUGAGCCUAGGUCGGAUUAGCUAGUUGGUGGGGUAAAGGCCUACCAAGGCGACGAUCCGUAACUGGUCUGAGAGGAUGAUCAGUCACACUGGAACUGAGACACGGUCCAGACUCCUACGGGAGGCAGCAGUGGGGAAUAUUGGACAAUGGGCGAAAGCCUGAUCCAGCCAUGCCGCGUGUGUGAAGAAGGUCUUCGGAUUGUAAAGCACUUUAAGUUGGGAGGAAGAGCAGUAAGUUAAUACCUUGCUGUUUUGACGUUACCAACAGAAUAAGCACCGGCUAACUUCGUG
rnacentral:rRNA from 1 species